GCAUUAGCUUUAUAAAGCCUGAUGGUGGAGAUGGGGUGGAGGAGGGUUGAAGCUCAGCUGAAGAGCAGGAGAUUCUGCGUAUGACGAUCUUUUAAAGCAAAUCCUUGAGGGAUGAUUGGCUGAAGAGGAAUGCGGACCAGAAGCUUAUUGGUUGGAGUGGAGAAUGUAGUGGAGAAGUUAGACAGAGCCGAAAGUAGAGGUACCACGAGUAGUGUUCUAUACUAUCUGCAGCCAGGACGUUGGACUAGCUGAGAAGGGAAAGCAUCAGAGGUCCAAAUCCCGGGAGGUUCUGAGAUUGUGACCCCAGCACCAGCCACUACAGACGGGUUCCUAAUUCACCAGAUGAGUACAUUUCAGAGGGACUUCGGCCCAAGCCAACGGACUACAACAGUGCCUUGCUCCUUGAUUAUGGAUUAGAAUGCCACACAUGCUAAAACUUCCGUUCCUAUGGACUGGGUCGUCGUCAAGGACUUCCGCAGGAGACACUGGCAUUCCAAGAGUGAGCAGGGACUGUUCCAGAUGCUGCUGGAACAGUCCACACAUUGCACUACAGGAAGGAUCCUUCAGCCCCGGAGGCCCGAGCACAGGAUCCCCCAGGACCACAGGACACGCCCAGGAGGCCCAGGAUCUUUUGCCAGGUUCACCACAGGAAUAAAUAAUCCAGGACAAUACCCCACCACAAAGGCAAAGAACUGUUAUUGCUGGACAGCCGGCAAGCAGUCCACAGCGGUGGGUGAAGAACCUUUUUUUUUUUUUUAGGAAUCAUUCCAUUCCCUGGCUUGCAAAAAAUUCCGUCAAAUUGCUAUAUCUCUCCUCAUAAAACAAACAAUAAAAAGAAAGAGAGGAGAAGAAGAGGACACAUCUGCACUUCUUCAAAUCAGCACAUCCUGAUCUCAAGAUGUCUAGAAGAAAUAAAAAUACUUUAUUUUUAUUACAUUGACAAUUGUUCUAAAUUUUGGUUUGAUUUCCUUUUUAACACAUUUUUCUUUCCUGAAAGAAUCAUUUCCUCUGCGUAUGAAUAAAAGGCAUACUCUUGAUCAUCAUGAUGUAGCUGUAAACCUCUGGUGGCAGCUCGCAGGUCAUACUGCAUGUAAGGUCACAAAUGCCAGUUGUUAUGCCUGUGCACGCCCGCCGCCUGCUACACCAACAUUGUCACUGCUUCAGCCAUGGCCAACUAAUGUUAUUACAGUGCUGUCUUUCUUUUCAGCAUACACACUAUAGCUCCCCGUAAUAGCUCUCAUUUCCUUGAUGCCUCUUUACAUCUUAAGUAUUUUUCGUGAUUAGUGGAUUUUUCUUGUCACUCCAUAUGAUUUCCUUAUGGUUUUUCAGCGGCUACAAAUCUAACUAUAUCUGGCUCUAUUAUGACACAUUCUCUCAUUCCCCAGAAGCAUAACCUGACCAUUAUUCACAUACAUUUUCUUUGUCUCAGGUUUUGAAGAUUGAAUGAUUUUUUGUUUCCCGUUUCUUUUUUUUUUUUUGGAUCAUUUUUAAGAUUUCUGUUGAAAUUCUCUAAAAACUGCUUAGCCCAUUUGAAAGACCACCGAUGAAAUAACUGUCCAGAAUGAUCCCAACACUACUGUGCCUUUUCAAAUGCUGCUGAUUUCGCCAGGUAUAAAAUGAAUGUCACUUCAAGACGUGUUAAAAUAGCAGGAUAAAACCAGGUAAUCAUGCAGGUUCCCAAAAACAAUGCCGAUGCCUACAUGCUCCCACUGAUGUGACCAUUGUGUAAAAAUCAAUGGGCCACAUUUGUAUCCUCAUUUUUUAGUAUUUGUUUUAUUUUGUACUUUCUUAAAUUUUUUUUUUUUUUUUUUUGAGGAUCACAUGGGUUUCUUUUCUUUCUUUGUCCUUUUUCAGUGAUUCAAUGCAUAUACUUGAAUGUUAAUGUUAUUAGUAAUCAAUAAUGCAAUAAUUUUAUAGUAUAAUAGUUUAUCCUAUAGCACCCUUUGAUUCACUGGUUGGAUUGACUCAAGGGGUGCUUCUUCUUUGUGUUACUUAGUUCCUUUCACUAGGCUAAUUAGUAGGACACUGUUUACAUUUUGUUUACUCAUUAAUUUUUCCUUGUCAAUUCGAUCACAUAAGAAACAAUUGCUUUUAUGAUCGAAAAGGCAAAUUGAUAGUGGAAAAAUUUAAAGAGGCAAUCCUGUUUAAUAUCACUAAUAAACAUAUCAACACUUUCAGUACUGGGUUACCUCUGGAUAUCAUCGGGAUACCAUCUGUUCCGUUUCGUGCUGACCCCUUAUAGAUUUAGGAUGUUCAAGGACUGUUUUAUUUUCUUGUCUCCUGUGUUGUGAAUUACAUUUUCAGCUAUGUGAGAACUACAAAGGAUUGUAACUCCCUGUCUAGGGCUGGAUGGGCAGACUGAGACACUGGUUUUGAUUGUUCUCAAUUCUUGCAAGAAUUAAUAAAAAUGCUACUUUGAUACUCACCGUA